rnacentral:rRNA from 1 species
UACGGAGGGGGCUAGCGUUGUUCGGAAUUACUGGGCGUAAAGCGCACGUAGGCGGCCUUUCAAGUCAGGCGUGAAAGCCCCGGGCUUAACCUGGGAACUGCGCUUGAUACUGUGAGGCUUGAGUCCGGGAGAGGAUAGUGGAAUUCCCAGUGUAGAGGUGAAAUUCGUAGAUAUUGGGAAGAACACCAGUGGCGAAGGCGGCUAUCUGGACCGGUACUGACGCUGAGGUGAGAAAGCGUGGGGAGCAAACAGG